UGGGGGAUCGUCUAAUGGUAGGACUGCAGACUCUGACUCUGCCUAUCUAGGUUCGAAUCCUAGUCCCCCAGCCA
rnacentral:tRNA from 31 species